rnacentral:rRNA from 1 species
UAAGGAAUACUGGUCAAUGGACGCAAGUCUGAACCAGCCAUGCCGCGUGAAGGAUGAAGGUCCUCUGGAUUGUAAACUUCUUUUAUCUGGGACGAAAACGGGAUUUUUAUCUCAAUUGACGGUACCAGAGGAAUAAGCGCCGGCUAACUCCGUGCCAGCAGCCGCGGUAAUACGGAGGGUGCGAGCGUUAUCCGGAUUUACUGGGUUUAAAGGGUGCGUAGGUGGGCUUAUAAGUCAGUGGUGAAAUCUCCGAGCUUAACUUGGAAACUGCCGUUGAUACUAUAGGUCUUGAAUUAUCUGGAGGUAAGCGGAAUAUGUCAUGUAGCGGUGAAAUGCUUAGAUAUGACAUAGAACACCAAUUGCGAAGGCAGCUUACUACAUAUAAAUUGACGCUGAGGCACGAAAGCGUGGGGAUCAAACA